AUAACGACUGUGAAAGGACGAGUAGUAGUAGGACGUAGACAAAGCGAGUCAGGGGUGGUGUGAGCCUGAUACGAAGCCUAUUAUGAAGAACCUCCUGGAGUCGCUAACCGAAAUCCUUUAGAGGAAAGUAGACUUAGCCGUGAACUUCGCCGUUAAAGAAGAACAGUAUCGAGAUCUCUCUAAUCUCCGUACUAAAAUAAGUGAGCAACCUCUGUUGCUAAUUUGGGUGGUACCGCGGAACCAAAGCCUUUCGUCCCAGUU
rnacentral:ncRNA from 1 species